GAUGAACGCUGGCGGCGUGCCUAAUACAUGCAAGUCGAGCGAACGGACGAGAAGCUUGCUUCUCUGAUGUUAGCGGCGGACGGGUGAGUAACACGUGGAUAACCUACCUAUAAGACUGGGAUAACUUCGGGAAACCGGAGCUAAUACCGGAAAAUAUUUUGAACCGCAUGGUUCAAAAGUGAAAGACGGUCUUGCUGUCACUUAUAGAUGGAUCCGCGCUGCAUUAGCUAGUUGGUAAGGUAACGGCUUACCAAGGCAACGAUGCAUAGCCGACCUGAGAGGGUGAUCGGCCACACUGGAACUGAGACGCGGUCCAGACUCCUACGGGAGGCAGCAGUAGGGAAUCUUCCGCAAUGGGCGAAAGCCUGACGGAGCAACGCCGCGUGAGUGAUGAAGGUCUUCGGAUCGUAAAACUCUGUUAUUAGGGAAGAACAUAUGUGUAAGUAACUGUGCACAUCUUGACGGUACCUAAUCAGAAAGCCACGGCUAACUACGUG
rnacentral:rRNA from 1 species